rnacentral:rRNA from 1 species
AAGAGACAGCAGUAGCCGCGGUAAUACAGAGGGUGCGAGCGUUAAUCGGAUUUACUGGGCGUAAAGCGUGCGUAGGCGGCUUCUUAAGUCGGAUGUGAAAUCCCUGAGCUUAACUUAGGAAUUGCAUUCGAUACUGGGAAGCUAGAGUAUGGGAUAGGAUGGUAGAAUUCCAGGUGUAGCGGUGAAAUGCGUAGAGAUCUGGAGGAAUACCGAUGGCGAAGGCAGCCAUCUGGCCUAAUACUGACGCUGAGGUACGAAAGCAUGGGGAGCAAACAGGAUUAGAUACCCCGGUAGUCCCUGUCUCUUAUAC